GCUCGUUGACCUAUAAACACACAUCUGAAUACAUACACAUAUGCACACGAAUUUAAACUCAGUUUCCACCCACAGGAACAUGCAGUGUCUCUUCCUGAACACUGCGGAGGACCCAGGCCUCUGAGGGAGGACACUGAGGACAGAGGUCCAGAUUCCCACCAUAUGCACCCACCUGGGGAAGGAAUGCUUGGGAGAAAUGAGGAUGGAUUAUCAGCCCAGCUUUGCAGCCGGCAGCGUGGAGCCCAGCCGUGAGGGUGGACUGGACCUAAGUGACUGUGCCCCAGGCCUUGGGAGCUCUGCUAGCCUGCUCCCUCCCCCGCCAUCUGCCUGCCUGCUCCAGCUCUAUCUCCACGGAGAGUGCGGGGGCCUUGGAAAGGCUGGGCAACUGAAGUUACAUCUUUGAGCACCAUGCCAGAACCUCGCAGGAAUGUGCAGCUCCCCCGCCCAGCACCCCAUGCCCUCCCUAGCCCUUGGUGACAAGGCCCUUCACAGCCUGCACAAUGGCGUCCUUGUCAAUACCAAACAUCUUCAGCAGCUCAGCUGGCUUCCCACUUCUUGGUACUUGGCCAACAGCCAGGCGGGUGACAGUGACUCCAGGUUCACCCACUACUGCAGUAGACACAGCCUCACCUAUGCCACCUGAAAAAGGAAAGCCAGAAUGUUGGGGUUCUAUGUGUGAGGCACCUGCCCGAUUACGCAGUGCUGGGGGUGGAACCGAGGACUUCCUGCACCCUAGGCAAGGACUCUGCCACCUGAGCCAGCCCCACGUCCAUUCUUCUUUGGCUGGCCUAUGUAGAUCAAGGUGACCUUGACUUCACAGACAGUCACCUCUCUUUGCCUCCUGAGUGCUGGGAUGUUGCCAUGACACUUUAGGUAAUUAAAAAAAUUUUUUUAA